ACUUUCCUUGUCAUGGGGUGGUACGGGAAACUCAAUGAACGCAUAGUGAGAGUUCCCCUGCUAACACCAUAUCAACACAUACGCACCACCCGGGCUUCCUGUUCGGGCUCUGGUGCAAUUUUUGGAAAC